CCUACGGGGGGCUGCAGUGGGGAAUAUUGCACAAUGGGCGCAAGCCUGAUGCAGCCAUGCCGCGUGUGUGAAGAAGGCCUUCGGGUUGUAAAGCACUUUCAGCGGGGAGGAAGGCGUUAAGGUUAAUAACCUUGGCGAUUGACGUUACCCGCAGAAGAAGCACCGGCUAACUCCGUGCCAGCAGCCGCGGUAAUACGGAGGGUGCAAGCGUUAAUCGGAAUUACUGGGCGUAAAGCGCACGCAGGCGGUCUGUCAAGUCGGAUGUGAAAUCCCCGGGCUCAACCUGGGAACUGCAUUCGAAACUGGCAGGCUAGAGUCUUGUAGAGGGGGGUAGAAUUCCAGGUGUAGCGGUGAAAUGCGUAGAGAUCUGGAGGAAUACCGGUGGCGAAGGCGGCCCCCUGGGCAAAGACUGACGCUCAGGUGCGAAAGCGUGGGGAGCAAACAGGAUUAGAUACCCGAGUAGUC
rnacentral:rRNA from 1 species